rnacentral:rRNA from 1 species
AUGGGCUCCAGCAAAGGCUCGCCCCCGCCCUCCGCCGCGGGGCCCUCGUCGGCCGGGAAUGCCCCCGCGCCGGUGGGGCCGGCGCCUAGGCCGCCGGAGGUGGCGCCGUUCCUCACCAAGGUCUACGACAUGGUCUCGGACGCGGCCACCGACAAGGUCAUGUCGUGGACGGACGCCGGCAACAGCUUCGUGAUCUGGGACGCGCACGCCUUCGAGCGCGACCUGCUCAGCCGCCACUUCAAGCACCGCAACUUCAGCAGCUUCAUACGCCAGCUCAACACCUAUGGAUUUCGUAAAGUUGACCCUGAUAGAUGGGAGUGGGCCAAUGAAGGGUUUCUUAGGGGCCAAAAGCAUCUUCUGAAAAUCAUUAAGAGAAAGAAGAGACCUCAGGAAGCAGGUCGUGAGUUAGAGAAGGCACCUGUCAAAGCUGCACCUGGUACUGAAAAUAUUGAAAUAGGAAGAUAUGGCGGGCUUGUAAAGGAGGUGGAAACCCUUAAGAGGGAUAAAUCUCUUCUCAUGCAGCAGCUUGUGGAUCUCAGGCACUACCAGCAAAGCUCUAACCUUGAAGUCCAGAGUUUGAUUCAACGCCUUCAAGUAAUGGAACAGAACCAGAAGCAGAUGAUGGCACUUCUAUCAAUCGUUGUCCAGAACCCUAGUCUUCUCAACCAGCUUGUGCAGCAGCAGCAGCAGCAGCGCAGGGCCAACUGGUAUGAGGAUGGAAACAAGAAAAGGAGGUUCCCUGCUCUAGAGCAGGGUCCAGUAACUGAUUACGGGACUUCUGGCGCAGGGACCGAAAUUAUUCAGUAUCGGCCUCCUGCCCCUGAAACUUCUAGCCCAGUAAUACCAGAUGAAGCAUUUUUGUCGGCCACCACACAACCAAUCUCAAGUCCCGCACUUAACAUGCCCAUGGACAUUGACACUCAAACGACGUCGGACAACCUCAACACACAAGGUUCAUCAGGGGACAUUUUUGCUGACAUGCCUGCUCUACCAGACUUUGAUGACAUGCAUCUGUGGUUUGGCGAAGACGGGGAACCUACUUUAACUAUUCAAGAUUAUGAUGAGUCUCCACAGUCAGAGCAGGACUGUCAGAUGGAAGCACAGCAUAACUACAAUAACCCUCAACAUGCUGAUGUCAUAACUGAAGCAUAG